UCCCAAAUGAAGGGCCGUGGCACAGGUGU
rnacentral:piRNA from 1 species